UGGGAAGUAGCAUUUCUAAGGAAGGGGGCGUUGGGUCGCCCGGAAGUGGUAUUCGCUGAGAGGGCGAGCGGAGUGGCGGUGAGACUGUCGGGACAGAGUUGGUGGCGCUAGGCCUAGCCUGGUCGUGCAGCCGGGCUUGAGGCGAGAAAGAAAAAAGAGCCUACAUGGAUGGAAUCUGGUUGAAAUGAAAAUAUUAAUAAUAUUAAGAGGACAGAAAAUUGAAAGCCAACAGCUUCUCUCAAUAAAAUAAAGACUUAUGGUUAAGGCUACCUUUCCAGAUAGUCCAACAGCUAAGUCACCAGGUUCCAAGGGCAUUUGUACCACCUGUGGAGAGCAUCGGACCUAUGCACACCAUAUGUCCUUGACAACUCAUCCCACCAGCCCCUGCACAAAAUUUGCUAUGCCAGCAGACAACGAAGGCAACCACUGAGUUUCUUUUCAUUACCAAGUAGAUAUAACAUCCCUGCCAGCAAAACAGAGAACACAAGCAUCUCUUCACAAUAUCACGACCAGUUGAGACCGUACUAAGAAAAUCAGCUUUCCUAGAAGAGGACCUCGUCUCUUCUUGGGUAGCCAGGAUUUAAAGGAGAGACUCUGACCUGUGCCGCUGGAGGCUACUGGAGGAUGUGCUUCACCAAAACAAAGGAGUAAUAAUCUAAGUAAGAAGUCAUGGGAUCCUGAAAACCUAAGAUCUCACAAAGGAAUGCAAUGAAGGAAAGUCCCAGAAUGAUUCCUGUAUCAAGGAUAACAUACCUGCCGUGGAAUACAUAAAGUGCACUAAUCAUAAGUAGUUGAUGAUUUUUCACAUAUGUAUGCACUCAGAUCAAGGUACAAGAACUUUCUGAUUCCCUAGCACCCUUUCCCAGUCUGUACCUCCCCCAAAAUGAACCACUCUUCUAAAGAUCAAUUCGUUUUGCUUGUUCUCAACCUCAUGUAAAUGGGAUCAUACAGUAUGUAUUGUUUUAUGCUUGGCUUCUUUCAUCAAUGUACUAUCUGUGUGAUUCAGCCAGGUGUUUGCAUGUAUCAGUGGUUCAUUUUUUAUUGCUAUAGACUUUUCCAUUGUAUGAAUAUGCCAUAAUUUAUGUAUCCAUUCACCUGUUGAUAGCAUUUGAAUUCUUUCCACUUCGGGGCUAUUACAUAUACAGCUGCAGUAUUCUAGUACCUGUGCUUUUUGUGGGUAUGUGUACUCACUCCUCUUGGGUAUACAACUAGAAAUCAAAUUGCUGUGUCAUAGGGUAGGUUAUAAAGCAAAAACACAUAGAGGGAACUGACAAGACCUAUUUGCACCAUUAAAGCAAUUCUCAAUGUGGGAUCUGGUAGCAUCCACAAAGCUUCACUGAAGUGAUUAUUUAAAAUACCUUAACCAGACCUACUAAAUCAAAAUUUCUGAUGUGGAAAGCCACAAAUAUUCAUUUUUAACAAGCUCCUGAUCAUUUUUAUGGUUACCAAAAUUUGAGAGAUUCUAGCUCCAUGUCAAUAUUCUGGCCUAUAGUUGGAUUUGUAUUGCUGAGACACCAUAAAUGAUUUAAAAAUUUAAUUAAAAAAAAAAAAAGCAGUGGUCAAUUCCAGAAAAGGAAAUUGAGAAAUGGCUAUGUUGAAAUAUUCAACCAUGGGUCACCCAUAUUACCAAUACUUAUUUCAGUUAAAAACUUUUGAGUUUCCAUUGAAUACAGAGCACUCUGCUGCUUUGUAGUGAAGAGAAUUCAAAUGCUUCAGUUUCAUUCCUUUUUUGAGUAUUGGAGAGUUCUCUUGUUUAAUUACCUUUGAACUCUAGAAAAAGACCAUAAGGGCAGCAGUUCUGAGCUGUCAGUUUCAUUCCCUGCCUGUUCACCCUAAGGUGAAGUCUAAUGGACUUUGUAAAUUGGUGGUUAAAGGUUUCAGGUAUUGGAAAGACUGCUCAUGCCAUUGGCUGCCCUUAGCCCACUACUCAACUUUUUAUCCCUGUUUCACACCUUGGUCACCACUAACAAUUUUAGGAAGGAAGAUGUAAAAAAUGACUACCCCUAGACUCAUAUUGCCCACAGACUGUUUCCAAAACAAUUUGUGGAGCUCAUGGUGAUCAUAUGAAUGUUACUAUAAUCUGGCUAAAAUUGCCACAAAACAUUUUAUUCUAAAAUGCCAUGUCCCAUGGUGUUAUGUUGAUACACUGUAAUCUCAAGGGCAAAUGUUGCUGUUUUGUGCUUGGGCGGGGGUUGUGUUUAUUUUCCUCCUGUGGGUUUGAGAUGGAAGACCUGAUACCAGGCCACCUUUAAUGAAACCUUGGUACUAAUGCAUGUGUGUUAGGAUUGCAUAAAAGCAUAAUGCCAGUUUAAGCUGUGUGUUCAUUUUUGAAUUGUUCACUCAAAAAAAGGGGGAUGUUUAACAGAAAACUGUAGCUUUCAAAAAUGAAAUGAUAUAGGUGCUUCACAGAAACGCAAAGCCAUGAGAGCGUAUGUUAGGGACAUGCAAACUAGUGUGAAAAAUGAGUAGGGAAUAAGUCGGGCAGGGCAAGGGGAAAUACCUUCUUUGUAAAAGGGUUCAGUGAAAUACUCAAGUAUGUGAUCUUGUUUUUAGCUGAGUAACGGAAGUAUAUUAGGAGUAAUAACAACAAUAGAGUUACUCGUGCUACUUAACUGACUAGGAGAAAAAUUACUAAGCAAAGGCUAAAAGAUUACCUUGGUAAAUUUCUACUCAAGAAAUCACCUAAAGCAGCAUUUAGACCAUCAGUGUGGUAGAGAUGAAUUAUUCAAUACCUGUUGGGACUACUGCUUAGUCGUCUGGAAAAACGUAUGUCUGGAUUCCAGCCUCACUUCAUAUAUCAGCAUAAAUCCCAACUAGAUAAAAAAAUGUAAGUUUUGGUUUUUUUUAAAUGAAACCAUAAAAGUGCUAGGAGAAACUAAUCUUGGAUGGGGGAGGCCUUUCUAAGCAUGAUGCAAAAGCCAGAAUGUAAGAGGAAAAUAUCAAUACGUAGAUUUGCCUACAUAAAAAUUCAAAAUAUUUAUGGAACAUAAGAAAGCUAAAGUACUAACUGGGGGGAAAUGUUUGCAAUGUUUAUUACAGGCAAAGUGUUAAAAGCCCCUACAAAGAAAGAUCUUGUAAUAAGUGUUAAAAAUGAUUAAAGAAGACAAUUUAGGUGAUAUAAACAAACUUUAUUUAACCUUUCAUGAAGGGAACAGUCUCCAUUCAGAGAACUGCAAAAUGAGGUGGAAGGCAAGAAGCUUGUAUAGGAUAAAGAAUAAAGAACAAGGAAGAGAAAAAUAGAGAAUAUCUGACUGCUGGGGCCACAGAGUCAUCCUGUUUGGGGUGAGAAGGAAGAAGGAAAUGAGGAGAUAGCCCAGAGGAGGCUUGGCCAUUGGGGGUCGGCUGACUGGAUAGACUGUGUUUCCUGGUCAAGCAGAGCAUUUUUAAGGACACAAAGGUAUUAAGUUUCAGUUUGCUGACCUGGCACCCUGAGCAAGAGCAGCUGCAUCCUGGGCCUAGAAAGUUAUUUCAACAUAAGGAAGAAAGCAGGCAAAAAGCAAUGCACAAAAGGUUUAAUUCCAACAACUGACCAGGCUGUGGGAAGGUGUUCCCAACAGCCCUCCUAGUAAAUAAAUGGUGUAGGGGAGACACUCUUCACUUACUUAAACAUAUCUGAAGAUCAGUAUUGGCUAGGCUGGGCAAGGAUGUGGGAAAACAUGCAUCUUUGUGCAC